GGCCACCCCAACUCUGGCUCGACGACUCUGUUGAUUUCUUCCAGCCCAGUCGGUCCCCAGUCAAUCCGAGACUUUCACUGCGCGAUGAGUUUCCCCGGUCCGUCGGCGAGCGUCGGUUGCGGUUGGUUGUCAAGUGCUGUUUGAGUGCAAGUGAGAAGGUGUGAGUGAGUGCGUGAGGUGGUGAGGGCCCUCCCUCCAAAUCCUCUUCGGUGCAAACGUGGUGCUACGAUCAACGGAUCAGAAGCUGGGACUCGAAGGAAUACCUACCCCCGCGUGAAGGAGAAUUCCUGCUGCGAUUUUCUGGUUCAGCCCACCGUGGAUGGUGUAAGCAUCGAUCGUCGGUACGACGAGCCAUCCCAUGAGAAGCGAUUGAAUUAGUUGGUACGUUUUACAACUAGGAUAGACAAUACCUCUAUUUUCAGUAGUAAGUUCCCUUAAUUUUGUUACGCAAGUACAAAUCCCUAGAUCUCAAUAGAUGCAAACUGUCUGCAACAGUGAAAAGGUUACAUUAUUUGUUUUCCUCUAAUCUCUUCACAAUGAUUCAUCAAACCAAACAGCCGAGAAAAAAAAACAAAAGCUCGUCACAAAAAGCUUAACCCUUGAGAGGGGUUUUUUCUUUCCCCAAAGUUUGUCUAAAUGUCACAAAUUUCAUUCUAUUCCACGCGGCUCUCGAUCCCUCCAAAUCCUUGCCUCUUUGUCUAGCUUUUUAUCUUUUUUCCCCUCUUCUUUAUAUCUUUGUUAUCUGUCAUUUUCUCUGUGAUCCCCCUCCUACCUCCCCUCUUCACCACCAGAACUGCCACGUGAGCAUCUGUUCUGUCAGCACAAAUUUUCCGCGCAACUGUGUGGCCUGUAAUUGGAGAGCUUUAUUUGCCGAAAAGAUAAACUCGUUUUCCACCAUCCCAACACACCUCACUCCCCCAAAAAAGCCCUGCUGUAACAACGUUUUACGAUUCUAUUUCAGAGUAAGGCUCUAUUCUGCAUGUCUGGGAACAUUCUGGAGCAGCAAUUCUGAAUUUCUCAUUUUUCUACACAAUCCCCUGCUCACGGGUUGGUAACGUGCAGCGCUGGGAAAAAAUGGAGAAGAAAAGGGAAAUUCAACGCAACGUUGUCUCUCGAUUUUCCAACGAAGGGAUGUUCUGGGCCCGGUUCUCUUUGCCGGGAUAUAAUUGUGUAAAUACGCGCUCUUGUCUGUGUGUUUUUUGUUGCAUUUGUUCAAGCAACGAAGAUUGAGACGUU